rnacentral:sRNA from 1 species
AUGGCUGUGUUUCUGCAGCUGCUACCGCUGCUGCUCUCGAGGGCCCAAGGGAACCCUGGGGCUUCUCUGGACGGCCGCCCUGGGGACCGGGUGAAUCUCUCCUGCGUAGGAGUCUCUCAUCCCAUCCGCUGGGUCUGGGCGCCCAGCUUCCCGGCCUGCAAGGGCCUGUCCAAAGGACGCCGACCGAUCCUGUGGGCCUCUUCGAGCGGGACCCCCACCGUGCCUCCCCUCCAGCCUUUCUUCGGCCGCCUACGCUCCCUGGACUCUGGUAUCCGGCGGCUGGAGCUCCUCUUGAGCGCGGGGGACUCGGGCACUUUUUUCUGCAAGGGCCGCCACGAGGACGAGAGCCGUACAGUGCUUCACGUGCUGGGGGACAGGACCUAUUGCAAGGCCCCCGGGCCUACCCAUGGGUCCGUGUAUCCCCAGCUCCUGAUCCCGCUGCUGGGCGCUGGGUUGGUGCUCGGACUGGGAGCUUUGGGCCUGGUCUGGUGGCUGCACAGGCGCCUGCCCCCGCAACCGAUUCGACCACUCCCUAGAUUUGGUGAGACUAAUUCCACCCCAUUUUCUUUCUCCUACAUGCCCACUCCCCACCCCUCAAUUCCUGAGUCUGAGCCCUUGCUGGGAGCAGACACGUUGGUCACCUUCUCUCCAUCCUUCAGCUCUGUCCCCCCCACAUAGCUCCACUUGUGAAAACCGAGCCCCAGAGGCCAGUAAAGGAGGAAGAGCCCAAGAUUCCAGGGGACCUGGACCAGGAACCGAGCCUGCUCUAUGCGGAUCUGGACCAUCUAGCCCUCAGCAGGCCCCGCCGGCUGUCCACAGCGGACCCUGCUGAUGCCUCCACCAUCUAUGCAGUUGUAGUUUGA